rnacentral:rRNA from 1 species
GAUGAACGCUGACAGAAUGCUUAACACAUGCAAGUCAACUUGAACUUCGGUUUGGGUGGCGGACGGGUGAGUAACGCGUAAAGAACUUGCCUCACAGAUAGGGACAACAUUUGGAAACGAAUGCUAAUACCUGAUAUUAUGAUUAUAUGGCAUCGUAUAAUUAUGAAAGCUAUAUGCGCUGUGAGAGAGCUUUGCGUCCCAUUGGCUAGUUGGAGAGGUAACGGCUCACCAAGGCGAUGAUGGGUAGCCGGCCUGAGAGGGUGAUCGGCCACAAGGGGACUGAGACACGGCCCUUACUCCUACGGGAGGCAGCAGUGGGGAAUAUUGGACAAUGGACCAAGAGUCUGAUCCAGCAAUUCUGUGUGCACGAUGAAGUUUUUCGGAAUGUAAAGUGCUUUCAGUUGGGAAGAAAAAAAUGACGGUACCAACAGAAGAAGUGACGGCUAGAUACGUG